rnacentral:misc_RNA from 1 species
GAACGCACCUUGCGCUCCUUGGUAUUCCGAGGAGCAUGCCUGUUUGAGUGUCAUUUAAUUCUCAACCUUAUUAGCUUUUGUUGAUAAUGGCUUGGAUGUGGGGGUUUUCUUUUGCUGGCUUUCUUCGGAUGUCAGCUCCCCUUAAAUGUAUUAGCCGGUGCCCUGCGUGGACUAUCCGUUGGUGUGAUAAUUAUCUACGCUAUUGACGUGAGGCAGUUCAGCUUCUAACAGUCCAUUAACUUGGACAGUUUUUCAUUAAUGUGACCUCAAAUCAGGUAGGACUACCCGCUGAACUUAAG